UACGUAGGGUGCAAGCGUUGUCCGGAAUUAUUGGGCGUAAAGAGCUUGUAGGCGGUUUGUCGCGUCUGCUGUGAAAUCUCAAGGCUCAACCUUGAGCUUGCAGUGGGUACGGGCAGACUAGAGUGUGGUAGGGGAGACUGGAAUUCCUGGUGUAGCGGUGAAAUGCGCAGAUAUCAGGAGGAACACCGGUGGCGAAGGCGGGUCUCUGGGCCGAUACUGACGCUGAGGAGCGAAAGCGUGGGGAGCGAACAGG
rnacentral:rRNA from 1 species